AUGUGCGUUGGCUCAAAUGGUCAUCUCCGCUGUGCCGGGUAUCGAAAUGGUUCGUUUUGUAAAUUCAGGAACAGAAGCUUGCAUGGGAGCACUCCGCCUUGUGCGUGCAUUCACUGGGAGGGAAAGAUCCUCAAGUUUGAAGGCUGUUACCAUGGCCAUGCAGAUUCCUUCCUCGUUGAAGCAGGCAGUGGGGUUGCCACCCUCGGCCUCCCAGACUCCCCUGGAGUGCCUAAGGGAGCCACUGUUGGGACUCUAACAGCACCUUAUAAUGAUGUUGAGGCGGUUAAAAAGCUGUUUGAGGAUAACAAAGGGGAGAUUGCUGCAGUCUUCCUUGAGCCGGUUGUCGGCAAUGCUGGCUUCAUUCCUCCGCAGCCUGCUUUCCUAAAUGCUCUCCGUGAGGUGACCAAACAAGACGGUGCACUUCUGGUCUUUGAUGAAGUGAUGACUGGUUUCCGUUUAGCUUAUGGUGGGGCACAAGAGUACUUUGGAAUCACCCCUGACGUGACAACCUUGGGGAAAAUUAUUGGCGGUGGUCUUCCAGUUGGUGCUUAUGGUGGGCGUAAGGAUAUCAUGGAGAUGGUUGCUCCAGCAGGGCCAAUGUACCAGGCAAGAACCCUGAGUGGAAACCCUCUAGCUAUGACUGCUGGAAUCCACACUCUCAAGCGUCUGAUGGAGCCUGGCACGUAUGAAUACUUGGACAAGGUCACCGGUGAACUUGUCCGGCGGAUAUUGGAUGCGGGUGCUAAAACAGGGCAUGAGAUGUGUGGUGGACACAUCAGAGGCAUGUUUGGAUUCUUCUUCGCAGGUGGCCCAGUGCACAACUUUGAUGAUGCCAAGAAGAGUGACACCGCGAAGUUUGGGAGGUUCCACCGUGGGAUGCUGGAAGGAGUGUAUCUAGCACCGUCCCAGUUCGAGGCAGGUUUUACAAGCUUGGCACACACAACCCUAGACAUUGAGAAAACCGUGGAGGCUGCCGAGGAAGUUCUUCGACGGAUGUAG
rnacentral:rRNA from 1 species